GUGGGGAAUAUUGCGCAAUGGGCGAAAGCCUGACGCAGCGACGCCGCGUGAGGGAUGAAGGUUUUCGGAUCGUAAACCUCUGUCAGAAGGGAAGAAACUACGUUGUGCUAAUCAGCAGCGUACUGACGGUACCUUCAAAGGAAGCACCGGCUAACUCCGUGCCAGCAGCCGCGGUAAUACGGAGGGUGCUAGCGUUAAUCGGAAUUACUGGGCGUAAAGCGCACGUAGGCUGUAGUGUAAGUCAGGGGUGAAAUCCCACGGCUCAACCGUGGAACGGCCUUUGAUACUGCACAACUUGAAUCCGGGAGAGGGUGGCGGAAUUCCAGGUGUAGGAGUGAAAUCCGUAGAUAUCUGGAGGAACAUCAGUGGCGAAGGCGGCCACCUGGACCGGUAUUGACGCUGAGGUGCGAAAGCGUGGGGAGCAAACAGGAUUAGAAACCCUGGUAGUCC
rnacentral:rRNA from 1 species